GCCAGUCGCUCGUCGGGAACUGGGGGUGUUUGGCGGUAAAGCUCCUCGCGUUCUUGGAGGGAUAAUUCCGAUAUGGAUCUCCUGGUUGGCAUGCCCGCAUUCAAACUGACGGCUGCAAUUGCAAAGAUGAAGAACAGACUGAUCAUAUAGAAGGUGUUUAUUAUAACUUACUUUUACUUUCGCGACACCCGGUUAUAGACAGAUGACACAUAGACUUAUAGAUCCGAAUGCAGUUCUUAUCUUCAUCAUAAACGCAAAUUGGCUUAUUGAGACUAGAUCCUGCACAUAUUUGCUCCGAAGGACACUUUACUUUUAAAAUGUCACCGGCUUCUAAAUUGUAAACUAUUUAUCAAAUAAAAAUACGAAUUGUUCCAA